AACGCUUGAAAGUUUGGGGCGAAGCAACAGAAGGCGGCCUGCAGAACGUUACUACCUACACGGCAGCAGUCAGCGUCAUUGGACUACCUUUUCAAGAAGUUAAGACACGAGUUAAGGAAGAUAACUGGAGAUGUGAUAAAGAUACCAGAACAUCUACGGCCCUAUGAGCUGUCAACUGCAGACACAAGCCUGUCGAUCCACCUGCAGUCUGGUCUGAAUGAUACAGCCCGGCUCUCAGCAUACAAGAUAGACGGCUCACUGCUGCUGACCCCCAAGCGGUUCAUUCAAGUGAGACAGAACUGAGUUCAGCACAAUGGCAGCUGCAUCCCCACAACCAAUGAUUCUUCGUGUUGUUGAGCCAGACCAGGCUAGAAAAUGAAAACUCAGCUCACGACCAGCCUCUGUUGAUGCACUGAUCAACAUUAUGAAAGUACAUCUGGAAAUCAACAGUGACUUUGAUUUGCUUUACGAAGAUCCAGACUUUGAAGGGAAACUUACUUCCCUUGCAGACAUUGAGGAAUUGCCAUAAAAAGCUGUUGUGCACAUCUCACUUUCACAAGAAUCCAGCUCUAUUGCAUCUACUGUUCCACUUUCAGAUGUGUCAUCUCCAGAG